CCUACGGGGGGCAGCAGUUUCGAAUCAUUCACAAUGGGCGAAAGCCUGAUGGUGCGACGCCGCGUGAGGGAUGAAGGUCUUCGGAUUGUAAACCUCUGUCACCGGGGAAGAAACGCUUCAAGUUAACAGCUUGAAGCCUGACUUAACCCGGAGAGGAAGCAGUGGCUAACUCUGUGCCAGCAGCCGCGGUAAUACAGAGACUGCAAGCGUUAUUCGGAUUCACUGGGCGUAAAGGGUGCGCAGGCGGCCGGGUGUGUCAGAUGUGAAAUCCCGAGGCUUAACCUCGGAACUGCGUCUGAAACUACUCGGCUAGAGUACUGGAGAGGGUAACGGAAUUCACGGUGUAGCAGUGAAAUGCGUAGAUAUCGUGAGGAACACCAGAGGCGAAGGCGGUUACCUGGACAGUUACUGACGCUCAGGCACGAAAGCAUGGGGAGCAAAAGGGAUUAGAUACCCCGGUAGUC
rnacentral:rRNA from 1 species